GCCGGAGCGGAGCCGUACGGUAUAAUUUAAUAACGGUCUCCCCGCGGUACUGUAAUCAGUGGGGGCACGUGCUAUUUCUGUGACUGAAGCCACUAGCUACAUUGAUGACCUCUUUUUACGUUGCACUCACCUUUAAAGCUGUAAUACUUAAGGAACACCCUCCAACCAAAUACAUCACUAGGUUUGAGUUUUGCCAUAUAUGUGGUAGUGGUCUUUGCCAUACCCUCUGUUUGUACAAAUAAUCAAGAGUUGUAUUUGUAGACAUUAAUAAGAUCUCUCUUUAUGGCUUAGAAAAUAAGUCCAAACUGAUGGGUCUUUGGUAACGCAUUUAUUGGAAGGCAAGAUCUCUUUUUUUUUUUUUUUUANNNNNNNNNUUUUUUUUUUUUUUUUGAGACGGAUUCUUGCUCUGUCACCCAGGCUGGAAUGCAGUGGCGCCAUCUCAGCUCACUGCAAGCUCCACCUCCCAGGUCCACACCAUUCUCCUGCCUCAGCCUCCCAAGUAGCUGGGACUACAGGUGUGUGCCACCACGCCCAGCUAACUUUUUGUAUUUUAAGUAGAGACGAGGUUUCACCAUGUUAGCCAGAAUGGUCUCCAUCUCCUGACCUUGUGAUCCACCCGCCUUGGCCUCCCAAAGUGCUGGAAUUACAGGCAUGAGCUACCGUGCCCAGCCGGAAGGCAAGAUCUUUUAAGUCUUCUGGUUUUUGGAGCUCAGUUAGCUUUGAAAGCCUAUGUGUCCUCUGCAGGCUGUGUGAGAGGAGUAUGAUCUAAAGAAAAAUUUCCAGAAGAAAUACCUGGCUUACAAGUUCUUUACAGUGAGAACAGCUAAACGUAUCAAGUGUUCAGUUUGUUAUAAAGCAGGUGUUGGCAAACGUCCUGUAAAUGGCCAGAUAGUAGAUAAUUUUGGGACAUGUGGUCUCUGUCUGGACUGUUCAACUCUGCCAUCAUUGUGUGAAAGCAGCCACACACCAUACAUAAAUGAAUGGGCAUGGCUGUGUUUAAAAUUGUAUCUAUGGGCACUGAAAUUUGAAUUUCAUGUAAUAUUUACAUGUCACAAACUAUUCUUUUGAUUUUUUUUUUUUUUCAACCACUCUUAGCCGUACAAAAACAGGUGACUUCCUGGAUUUGGCCUGCAGGCCAUAGUUUGCCAACCCCUAGCUUGGAGCACACAAAUUAUACCCUGCUAUCAUUAUUCUGGUUUUCAAAAGUUUUAUUUAUUUAUUUAUUUAUUUUUUGGAGACAGAGUCUUGCUCUGUCACCCAGG
rnacentral:lncRNA from 1 species